GCCAGCCUGCCUGCCAACCAGUCACAGCAGCUAGCCAGCAACAGUAAUUAAGGUGAGAAGAGACAGAUUGAGCUGGGUAUUACAGAGCUUUGUUAUAUCACUAUAUUGUGAAUGUGGGCCAGCAUUUUAGAGAAAACAAUCUCCCAGGCUCUUUAGACUCCAUUAUAGUCUCUAAUGGGACCUUGAUGGGACUUUUAUUAAAGGACCACUAUAGUCACCCAGACAAGUUCAGCUCAAUGAAGUGGUCUGGGUGCC